rnacentral:SRP_RNA from 1 species
GCCGGGCAUGGUGGCUCACGCCUGUAAUCCCAGCACUUUGGGAGGCAGAGGUGGGUGGAUCACCUGAGGUCAGGAGUUCGUGACCAUCCUGGCCAACAUGGUGAAACCCCAUCUCUA